GUUUUGUGGCUAUGAAGAUUUACAACACAGCUUAAUACGCCAGUUCUGCUGCAGAGAAUUCUUGAUUGAGACGUAGAUUUCCGUACAUAAU